GAGUGAUGAUUUUGAAGGCAAGGGCGACUUUAGCCAGUAUCGUUCUAAGCUAGUAAAUUAUUCUGAGAUUCUUCUUUUUCUUAUUUAACAUCUUAGUUCGCCUUCUUAUUGUCAGUGGUCAAAUUAUACAUUUUAACUUUUUAAGGAUUUAUAUCAUUGUUUGAUUUACUGUACUGCAGCUGUCUUUUUAUUUUUUUAUUCUUCCCCAUUUUCUCUUUAUUUUCUGUUUUCAUUGUUAUUUAACUUGUUGUGUUUGGGUUUGUUACUGAUGCAUGCUUUCUUAAUGCAAUCCGAGCUGAUGAAGUUUGUUGCUUCU
rnacentral:misc_RNA from 1 species